AAUAAGUUACCUAUUAUGUGGUGACUUGAGUUAAACUAAUAAAUUGUUUUUUGUUCUUUAGGGCUAUUUAGAUCAAGAAGGUAAUCCUAUGGGGUUUGCUGGACUUGUGUCACAUUUGCAUUAUCAUGAACCUUCUAAUCUUGUUUUUGUCAGUUUUCUUGUAAAUGGCCUCUUCCAUGAUCUCUGUCAGCCAACCAGGAAAGGCUCAAAACAUUUUUCUCAAGACGUUAUGGAAAAGCUAGUAUUAGUAUUGGCACAUCUCUUUGGAAGAAGAUAUUUUCCACCAAAGUUCCAAGAUGCACACUUCGAGUUUUAUCAAUCAAAGGUAAACUGUGUGAUUCUGAUAAAAUUUAGUAAUGUAAAAUCACUAAAUAGAUCUUACCUAAAAUGACUUAGCAGCUGUAGAAUUUUAAUUCAAAGGGCAGUUCAUUUGUUUUCUAGAAUAAUUUGUUCUUUUUGUAAUCAGUGUGAUAUUUAAUCUGUAAUUGAUGUCUCCCUCUGUAAAUCUACCAAAAAGUUAAAGUCUUUGUGAAAAAAACAGGAUCAA
rnacentral:sRNA from 1 species